AGUACUCAAUGAUUCUAGUUGAAAGAAAGAAAAAAGGAAGGAAGAAAGGAGGAAGAGGCAGGCACAAGACAAAAUGAAUCUCUCCGCUGUGCACAUGGAGCCUUAGCUCUGAUUCCAGUUGAGCAAAAUUAUGAAGAAGAUGAUUCCCCAUAUGGAUGACAGAUAAACACCCUGUGGCGAGUCACUCACUCCCGAAAGGCCCUCUGAAGGAUCGCGCAUGUCCUGACUGCACAGCCUGCUCCUGACAAUGCUCUCAAAGCCACGGUUGUAAUAGAAAUUGGAAAAUCAAAGCAGAUCCAUGUGGCCUCAGCAUAACGAAAACAAGGAACAUGAGGACGACUUCUGGGCAGAAACAUCUGGAAAGAGCUACUUAAACUCUGUACCAGCGUCCUCUUUUCCUGCACUGUUGUGGGACAGUUUUUGCAGAGAUGUAUCAAGUCACCUGAGCAGCAUUUGGAAAUGCAUAGUUUACUUGACAGCAUUUACAAAUUAUGUCUUUUCCUCAGAAUAACUUACACUGUAGAAAUGCUUCCAUAUGCUAAAGUUGGACACACCAUUGUAUUGAGAAAAAAAGUGAUGUCUUUUAGUAGCAGUUUUCAUAUACAUACUAAACUACAGUGUACACAAAUUAAUAAUGUUGUCCCUUAAGAAUUUACCAUAAAUGGUUUUCUAAUUCUUUAUGCCCCAGCUGUCUGCUAAAGAUUGUGAGUAGAUUUUGCCACAAAACAGUGGGUCAGCAAAAAUUGAAUUAUGAUUAUCUAAGUAAUGAAAACAAUUUGAUCACAAUGGUAAGUCUUAUGCCUUGAUGAAAAAAAUACUUUUACCCAAAAUCUUCUGUGUUUCUUAAAGUCCCAGGAGCAGAAAAUUUCCCACUUCAAAUUCCAAAACACGUAUACUUGCAGUUAACACCUUUCUAUCCUGACUUUAGAGCAAGAGUUGGCAAACUGUGCCCCAUGGGCCAAAUCUAGCUCACUACCUGUUUUUGUAAAUAAAGUUUUAUUGGAACACAGCCAUGCUUAUUCAUUUACACAUUGUCUAUGGCUGGCUUUGUGCUACAAAAGCAGAGUUGAAGAAUUGUGACAGACUUUAUAGCACAGAAAGCCUAAAAUAUUCUCAACAACCCUUUAUUUAAAAACAUGUUGACUCCUGUUUUAAUAAGCAUUUCCUCAUUUCACAUCUUGCAGGAAUAAAUGGAUGUUACUACUACUAGUACUGCUUCUGCUGCCAAGUUUUUGAGCACAUAACCAGGAUGACAACCACAGUUCCACAAAGCUCUGAUAAAACAUCAAAAAGAAACUCACCACCAAGGAAACCAGAGAAUCCUUUCUUGUCUUGAGUGAAUGGCAAUGAUCUUGGUGGCCAAGAUAAUAAAUACACGUUUAUUAUAUUGAAAAACUAUUCUAAAAUAUAUGUUCUCUAUAUAAAGUAAUCUCCACAUGAUUCUGAGAAAAAGUUUAAUCUAUCUUUCUACUACAAAGUUCUUAAUAAUGCUUUGACAAGGAGGUACCAUAUCCCAAGAUGUGAUACACUUUGCUCAGUUUUUAAAUUAAACAUUCUAGAG
rnacentral:lncRNA from 1 species